UCCAAAGCUUUUCUGAUUCCUGGAAGUUUUGAGAGAACUGCUCAACAACAAAACCAGUACUCUGGAGCAGAGCUGUGCUAUUACCUGCCAUAAAAUGAACAUAUGGAAAGUGCUUAAGUGAAUGCUUAGCCCUUUACUGGAUCACAAAACUGGCCAAUCAAUGGAGAUUCUUUUCCCCUAAAGUCUUGGAGAAGAAAACCAUUACAUUGUGCCUAAUAGUGUCAGAUGGCUGAUGGUACAGAUGGUCGGACUGAGAAAUGGUCUCCAUCCUUUCCACACUCCAUGAGCACAUGAACACAACCCCUUGUCUAGAGAUGUUAUUAUGAGCAAGAAGUUCAGAGAUUUCAUGAAACCCAGGAGGGCUUUCUGAAGAGCAACUAUGAAGCCCCAACAAAAGUUGCCCCAGCAAAAUUUCCCAUACCAAUUAAAUACGCUAAAGAUGGCUUACAUGGAGAUUAACCUCUGGGU